rnacentral:rRNA from 1 species
UCCCUUAUGGGGUGCAGCAGGCGCGAAACCUUUACAAUGCACGAAAGUGUGAUAAGGGAAUCCUAAGUGCUUUGCUUUUGCAAGGCUUUUUUCAAGGGUAGAUACCUUGAAGAAUAAGUGGUGGGUAAGACGGGUGCCAGCCGCCGCGGUAACACCCGCGCCACGAGUGGGAACCAUUUUUAUUGGGCCUAAAGCGUCCGUAGCCGGUUUAAUAAAUCUCUUGUGAAAUCGUUAAGCUCAACUUAACGGCGUGCAGGAGAGACUGUUAAACUUGAGACCAGGAGGAGUCAGAAGUAUUUUCGGGGUAGCGGUAAAAUGCAAUAAUCCCGGAAAGACUACCUGUGGCGAAAGCGUCUGACCAGAAUGGAUCUGACGGUGAGGGACGAAAGCUAGGGGAGCGAUCCGGAUUAGAUACCCGAGUAGUCCUGGCUGUAAACGCUGCGAGCAAGGUGUUGCACAUUCUCCGAGAAUGUGCAGUGUCGAAACGAAGGUGUUAAGCUCGCCGCCUGGGAAGUAUGGUCGCAAGACUGAAACUUAAAGGAAUUGGCGGGGGAGCACUACAAGGGGUGCGGCGUGCGGUUUAAUCUAACUCAACGCAGAGAAUCUCACCAGAAGCGACGGCAGGAUGAAAGUCAGAUUGAAGGUUUUACUUGACGAGCCGAGAGGAAGUGCAUGGCC